rnacentral:rRNA from 1 species
AAGUCCCGUAACGAGCGCAACCCUCAUCUUCAGUUGCCAGCGGUUUGGCCGGGCACUCUGAAGAAACUGCCGGUGACAAGCCGGAGGAAGGCGGGGAUGACGUCAAGUCCUCAUGGCCCCUACGGGCUGGGCUACACACGUGCUACAAUGGCGGUGACAGCGGGAAGCGAAGGUGCGAGCUGGAGCGAACCCCGAAAAGCCGUCUCAGUUCGGAUUGCACUCUGCAACUCGAGUGCAUGAAGUCGGAAUCGCUAGUAAUCGCGGAUCAGCACGCCGCGGUGAAUACGUUCCCGGGCCUUGUACACACCGCCCGU